GCCAGGCAUGGUGGGGCAUGCCUGUAAUUCCAGCAACUUGGAGGCUGAGGCAGGAGGAUCAAAAGUUCAGGGACAGACUCCAGUCUCAA
rnacentral:sRNA from 1 species